rnacentral:rRNA from 1 species
UACAGAGGUCUCAAGCGUUGUUCGGAUUCAUUGGGCGUAAAGGGUGCGUAGGUGGCGCCAUAAGUCAGGUGUGAAAUCUCGAGGCUCAACCUCGAAACUGCACUUGAUACUGUGGUGCUCGAGUACUGGAGAGGAGAUUGGAAUUUACGGUGUGGCAGUGAAAUGCGUAGAUAUCGUAAGGAAGACCAGUGGCGAAGGCGAAUCUCUGGACAGUUACUGACACUGAGGCACGAAGGCCAGGGGAGCAAACGGG